rnacentral:lncRNA from 1 species
GCCCUAGUACUUAUAAUACUCAUUUCAACACUUGUAACAACACUGUGAGAUAGGUGUUUGUAUUUCCAUUUUAUUGACAACAAAACUGAGACCCAGAGAGAUUAAAUAACUUGUUAAGUUCACAUUGCUAUUGAAUGGUCGGGGAGAGGUUUAAAUUUAGGUUUGCUUGAACUGAAAUACUGCUUCUUUUGCUAUUUUUGUUACCAUAUUGCUUUAGGGGCUGAGUUAGGAAAUGUUCAAUUUUAGAUGUUGACAAAGACAUCCAGGUGGAUAGGUACAGUGGAAACACAUAUGGAGGGUCCAGAAGGGAUCUUGGGCUGGAGUUAUAAAUUUAGGAGGCAGAGGGAAAUAUAUGGGAGUUGAGAAUUUUGAGUAAGAUAAAAUUCCACCAAAAUUUUUUGAUAAGAAUUUAUUUGAUAAGGAGGAAUAUGUGAAGGAGAGCAUUGUAGAAAGAGAAUGCUUGGAAUAAUCAACAGAAUUAGAAGUUGGUUGCAAUAUAUACAUAUAUUGCAUAUAUCAGUGUGUGUAUAUAUAUAUGUAUAUACACUGAAAUUUUACUUGAAAGCUUUUCCUUGAAAACUAUGACAUAUUUUCAAAGAAAGGUCUUUCUUUUCAUAAUUAUGUUUAUUAGCCUCCUAGCAUAGGAACUGAUUCUGUUCUGUAAUUGCCAUGCAUCUCUGCUUGACAGCAGCAUUGAUCUUGGGUUUGGAUUGACAAUUAAACUCAAGACACCAUAGGCUUCAUCUGGCAUUGUUUAGCUUUAGGAAAGGCUAUGGAUACAAUAACAGCAUGAAUGGACCAGCAGAGUAAAGUCCCAUGACGCCCAGGCACAGCUUCUGAGGUCCCCUACACUCUGCACUUGGAAUGCGAUGAAGGGAUUUUACUAGGUGAAGAUUCCUUUGUCAGCUGCUCUUGGAGCCUGUACUCCAGCACCAGCUCCACUGAAGGCAACAAGGACCCAGUGACUCCCAUGCUGGUGAUCCUGGGUGCCACAGCAUCUGGGCAGAGUAUAGAGAAGACAUGUUCCCUGAUUUUAACUGAAAGCAGUGGUUCCCGGUGAGUUAUAGAGA